GAGACAAGCAUAUGAUUACUGUCAGGAUCAACCAGGUAGCAUUCCACAUCGACUUUCGAUACUGCAUGGAAAAACCAAUACAAUACCAAUUGUCGUUCUUAAAUUGGGUGGGACGCAAUUAAGGGGCAAAUAGAGAUCGAUGGUUCCUCAUACCCACAUGGUACUCCACGACCAAGAAUACAAACAAGUUGUCAUUGAUCCAAAAACCCAAUGACAUCAAAGUCAUGGGCAUUGGGGCAUGACAAUUGCUAUGAUGUUCACCUCACGUCACAAACACAAAGGCUCGUAACGAAAGAUAAAUUAUACUUCAUCCAACCAAUUCCAUCUCUUGUGGCAUAAGUCACAGGAAACAUAGCUCGACCAAGAUAGCUUACUAUUCUUGAACAAAACACUGAAAAGGCAUAUCGGAUACAUUUUCGUUGUGCGAGCAAAGACUCAAUAUACCCAUACACACCGA
rnacentral:misc_RNA from 1 species